rnacentral:rRNA from 1 species
CCUACGGGAGGCAGCAGUAGGGAAUAUUGCUCAAUGGGGGAACCCCUGAAGCAGUAACGCCGCGUGGAGGAUGAAGGUUUUCGGAUGGUAACCUCCUUUUGUUAGAGACGAUAAUGACGUUAUCUAACGAAUAAGCACCGGCUAACUCCGUGCCGGCAGCCGCGGUAAUACGGAGGGUGCAAGCGUUACUCGGAAUCACUGGGCGUAAAGAGCGCGUAGGCGGGAUAGCAAGUCAGAUGUGAAAUCCUAUGGCUUAACCAUAGAACUGCAUUUGAAACUGUUAUUCUAGAGUAUGGGAGAGGUAGGUGGAAUUCUUGGUGUAGGGGUAAAAUCCGUAGAGAUCAAGAGGAAUACUCAUUGCGAAGGCGACCUGCUAGAACAUAACUGACGCUGAUGCGCGAAAGCGUGGGGAGCAAACAGGAUUAGAUACCCCAGUAGUC